rnacentral:rRNA from 1 species
CAGUCGCCGCGGGAAUACGAAGGGGGCUAGCGUUGUUCGGAAUUACUGGGCGUAAAGCGCACGUAGGCGGCUUGGUAAGUUAGAGGUGAAAGCCUGGAGCUCAACUCCAGAAUUGCCUUUGAGACUGCCGAGCUAGCAGGUGAGAGAGGUAAGUGGAAUUCCGAGUGUAGAGGUGAAAUUCGUAGAUAUUCGCAGGAACACCAGUGGCGAAGGCGGCUCACUGGCUCGAUACUGACGCUGAGGUGCGAAAGCGUGGGAAGCAAACAGGAUUAGAUACCCCUGUAGUCCCUGUCUCUUAUAC